GUAGAGGAGUGGAAGUGAGAAGCCUUAGAAACCAAAGCUGAUGGAGAACUAUCAAGCAAAUAGAGACCACCAACCACUUUACCACUGCCAAUCGUACGACCCAUCUCCAAGUCCUGGAAAAGACAAUAGGUAGGAAAGAAAAUUACUUUGCAAUUUAAAUCCCAUGUAAGACUACUAAUAGAGAGUAAAUUAGUAGAAAAAUUGGGAACAUGCAAU